UACGGGGGGGGCAAGCGUUGUUCGGAAUUACUGGGCGUAAAGGGCUCGUAGGCGGCCAACUAAGUCGGAUGUGAAAUCCCCAGGCUCAACCUGGGAACUGCAUCCGAUACUGGAUGGCUUGAAUUCGGGAGAGGGAUGCAGAAUUCCAGGUGUAGCGGUGAAAUGCGUAGAUAUCUGGAGGAACACCGGUGGCGAAGGCGGCAUCCUGGACCGAUAUUGACGCUGAUGCGCGAAAGCCAGGGGAGCAAACGGG
rnacentral:rRNA from 1 species